CAAGAGCUAGACAUUGGACUAUUUUUUUUUAAAAACCUUUUACCACAGAAGAAGUGAAAGCAGCUUGAAACAAAGAGCUGGAGCAGGCUGAGCAUUCCUGGAAAUGCCACAACCACUUAGGAUGACAAGGUUCCAUAAGUAAAGAGGAGAUGAAGUCUCAGACAUGUAUCUCUUCCUUCAGAAAAUAUUUAAGAAGGUUGUCUACACUCUGAUGUCAGCUGGUGGCAAUAGAGAGGCCUCUGGAAGAAAACUGGUCACCUCCAUAUCUGAAUGAAUUUAAAUGGCAUUGUUUGGAGAAUGUUGAACAACAC